GGGUGAGUAACGCGUAAUCAACCUGCCCUUCAGAGGGGGACAACAGUUGGAAACGACUGCUAAUACCGCAUACGAUCUAAUCUCGGCAUCGAGGAUAGAUGAAAGGUGGCCUCUACAUGUAAGCUAUCACUGAAGGAGGGGAUUGCGUCUGAUUAGCUAGUUGGAGGGGUAACGGCCCACCAAAGCGACGAUCAGUAGCCGACCUGAGAGGAUGACCAGCCACACUGGAACUGAGACACGGUCCAGACUCC
rnacentral:rRNA from 1 species